rnacentral:rRNA from 1 species
GACGUAGGAUGCAAGCGUUGUCCGGAAUUAUUGGGCGUAAAGCGUACGUAGGCGGUUCAUUAAGUCUGGGGUUAAAGACCAAGGCUCAACCUUGGGAGUGCCCUGGAUACUGGUGAACUAGAGGGUGGCAGAGGAAAGUGGAAUUCCCAGUGUAGCGGUGAAAUGCGUAGAGAUUGGGAGGAACACCAGUGGCGAAAGCGACUUUCUGGGCCAUUCCUGACGCUGAGGUACGAAAGCCAGGGGAG